rnacentral:rRNA from 1 species
AACGAACGCUGGCGGCAUGCCUAACACAUGCAAGUCGAACGAGACCUUCGGGUCUAGUGGCGCACGGGUGCGUAACGCGGGGGAACCUGCCCUUAGGUUCGGAAUAACUCCCCGAAAGGGGUGCUAAUACCGGAUAAUGUCGUCGGACCAAAGAUUUAUCGCCUUUGGAUGGGCCCGCGUUGGAUUAGCGAGUUGGUAGGGUAAAAGCCUACCAAGGCGACGAUCCAUAGCUGGUCUGAGAGGAUGAUCAGCCACACUGGGACUGAGACACGGCCCAGACUCCUACGGGAGGCAGCAGUGGGGAAUAUUGGACAAUGGGCGAAAGCCUGAUCCAGCAAUGCCGCGUGAGUGAUGAAGGCCUUAGGGUUGUAAAGCUCUUUUACCCGGGAUGAUAAUGACAGUACCGGGAGAAUAGGCUCCGGCUAACUCCGUG